ACGGCGAGUGAAGCGGCAACAGCUCAAAUUUGAAAUCUGGCCCUUUCGGGGUCCGAGUUGUAAUUUGUAGAGAGUGCUUCSGGUGAGACCGCGGUCUAAGUCCAUUGGAACAUGGSGUCAUAGAGGGUGAGAAUCCCGUAUGUGACUGCGGAUCGAGCCCAUGUGAAGCCUCUUCGACGAGUCGAGUUGUUUGGGAAUGCAGCUCAAAAUGGGUGGUAAAUUUCAUCUAAAGSUAAAUACUGGCUGGAGACCGAUAGCGCACAAGUAGAGUGAUCGAAAGAUGAAAAGCACUUUGGAAAGAGAGUCAAACAGUACGUGAAAUUGUUGAAAGGGAAGCGCUUGCAACCAGACCUGCCCGUAGGCGAUCAGCCGCUGUUUUCAGCGGUGCACUCGCUCUGCGAUCAGGCCAGCAUCGGUUUCGGCGGCCGGAUAAAGGCCCUGGGAAUGUAGCUUCCUCCGGGGAGUCUUAUAGCCCUCGGUGCAAUGCGGCCAGCCGGGACCGAGGACCGCGCUUCGGCUAGGAUGCUGGCGUAAUGGUUGUAAGCGACCCGUCUUGAAACACGGACCAAGGAGUCUAACAUCUAUGCGAGUGUUUGGGUGUCAAACCCAUGCGCGGAAUGAAAGUGAACGGAGGUGAGAACCCUUAAGGGCGCAUCAUCGACCGAUCCAGAUGUCUUCGGAUGGAUUUGAGUAUGAGCAUAGCUGUUG
rnacentral:rRNA from 1 species